GGGGAAUCUUGCGCAAUGGCCGAAAGGCUGACGCAGCGACGCCGCGUGGGGGAGGAAGGUCUUCGGAUUGUAAACCCCUGUCACCGGGGAAGAAGUCCAGGGGGGAGGAAAUGCCCUUCUGGUUGACGGUACCCGGGGAGGAAGCACCGGCUAACUCUGUGCCAGCAGCCGCGGUAAUACGGAGGGUGCAAGCGUUAAUCGGAAUUACUGGGCGUAAAGCGCGCGUAGGCGGCUUUGUAAGUCGGAUGUGAAAGCCCUGGGCUUAACCUGGGAAUUGCAUUCGAUACUGCAUGGCUAGAGUAUGGUAGAGGGAAGUGGAAUUUCCGGUGUAGCGGUGAAAUGCGUAGAUAUCGGAAGGAACACCAGUGGCGAAGGCGACUUCCUGGGCCAAUACUGACGCUGAGGUGCGAAAGCGUGGGGAGCAA
rnacentral:rRNA from 1 species